UUGGUAAGGGGCUAGCAUCCCCGCGCCCCGGCCGAACCGAGACGCCAAGGAUGACCGCGCAACCGAUGGUGGUGUUUUGUAUUCAACGUCUCCUAAUCGCUGGUCGGCAUCGUUUAUGGUUAAGACUACGACGGUAUCUGAUCGUCUUCGAUCCCCUAACUUUCGUUCUUGAUUAAUGAAAACAUCCUUGGCAGAUGCUUUCGCAGAAGUUAAUCUUUCAUAAAUCCAAGAAUUUCACCUCUGACAAUUAAAUAUUAAUGCCCCCAACUAUCCCUAUUAAUCAUUACCCUAGUCCUCGCGCUGCCAAAACCAACUGAAAAUAGGAGGACAGGGUCCUAUUCCAUUAUCCCAUGCUAAUGUAUUCGGUGGCAGAAAAUUGGAUCUGCCUGCUUUGAACACUCUAAUUUUUUCACGGUAAACAAUCUGGGCCA
rnacentral:rRNA from 1 species